ensembl:lncRNA
GGCUCCAGAGGUCCAACAAAUAUGAAGACCUUCAAAAAUUCUUUGGCCUCCUUUAGGGCCUGAUGGAUCAACGCCAUCAGAAACAUCACCAUCCAGGAGGUCGAAGAAACAUUACCAUUAGAAACAUCACCAUCAGAAACAUCACCAUCAGAAACAUCACCAUCCAGGAGGUCGAAGAAACAUCACCAUCCAGAAACAUCACCAUCAGAAACAUCACCAUCAGAAACAUCACCAUAGAAACAUCACCAUCAGAAACAUCACCAUUAGAAACAUCACCAUUAGAAACAUCACCAUCAGAAACAUCACCAUCAGAAACAUCACCAUUAGAAACAUCACCAUCCAGAAACAUCACCAUCAGAAACAUCACCAUCCAGGAGGUCGAAGAAACAUCACCAUCAGAAACAUCACCAUUAGAAACAUCACCAUCAGAAACAUCACCAUUAGAAACAUCACCAUCAGAAACAUCACCAUCAGAAACAUCACUAUCAGAAACAUCACCAUCCAGGAGGUCGAAGAAACAUCACCAUCCAGAAACAUCACCAUCAGAAACAUCACCAUCAGAAACAUCACUAUCAGAAACAUCACCAUCCAGGGGG